rnacentral:rRNA from 1 species
ACAGGUGCCGCAUGGUUGUUGUCAGCUCGUGUCGUGAGAUGUUGGGAUAAGUCCCGUAACGAGCGCAACCCUUGUCCUUAGUUACCAGCACGUUAAGGUGGGCACUCUAAGGAGACUGCCGGUGACAAACCGGAGGAAGGUGGGGAUGACGUCAAGUCAUCAUGGCCCUUACGGCCUGGGCUACACACGUGCUACAAUGGUCGGUACAAAGGGUUGCCAAGCCGCGAGGUGGAGCUAAUCCCAUAAAACCGAUCGUAGUCCGGAUCGCAGUCUGCAACUCGACUGCGUGAAGUCGGAAUCGCUAGUAAUCGUGAAUCAGAAUGUCACGGUGAAUACGUUCCCGGGCCUUGUACACACCGCCCGUCACACCAUGGGAGU